rnacentral:rRNA from 1 species
GAUGAACGCUGGCGGCGUGCCUAAUACAUGCAAGUCGAGCGAACGGACGAGAAGCUUGCUUCUCUGAUGUUAGCGGCGGACGGGUGAGUAACACGUGGAUAACCUACCUAUAAGACUGGGAUAACUUCGGGAAACCGUAGCUAAUACCGGAUAAUAUUUUGAACCGCAUGGUUCAAAAGUGAAAGACGGUCUUGCUGUCACUUAUAGAUGGAUCCGCGCUGCAUUAGCUAGUUGGUAAGGUAACGGCUUACCAAGGCAACGAUGCAUAGCCGACCUGAGAGGGUGAUCGGCCAAACUGGAACUGAGACACGGUCCAGACUCCUACGGGAGGCAGCAGUAGGGAACCUUCCGCAAUGGGCGAAAGCCUGACGGAGCAACGCCGCGUGAGUGAUGAAGGUCUUCGGAUCGUAAAACUCUGUUAUUAGGGAAGAACAUAUGUGUAAGUAACUGUGCACAUCUUGACGGUACCUAAUCAGAAAGCCACGGCUAACUACGUG